rnacentral:rRNA from 1 species
UGGAGGACCGAACCGACUAAUGUUGAAAAAUUAGCGGAUGACCUGUGGCUGGGGGUGAAAGGCCAAUCAAACCGGGAGAUAGCUGGUUCUCCCCGAAAGCUAUUUAGGUAGCGCCUCGUGAAUUCAUCUCCGGGGGUAGAGCACUGUUUCGGCUAGGGGGCCAUCCCGGCUUACCAACCCGAUGCAAACUGCGAAUACCGGAGAAUGUUAUCACGGGAGACACACGGCGGGUGCUAACGUCCGUCGUGAAGAGGGAAACAACCCAGACCGCCAGCUAAGGUCCCAAAGUCAUGGUUAAGUGGGAAACGAUGUGGGAAGGCCCAGACAGCCAGGAUGUUGGCUUAGAAGCAGCCAUCAUUUAAAGAAAGCGUAAUAGCUCACUGGUCGAGUCGGCCUGCGCGGAAGAUGUAACGGGGCUAAACCAUGCACCGAAGCUGCGGCAGCGACACUGUGUGUUGUUGGGUAGGGGAGCGUUCUGUAAGCCUGUGAAGGUGUGUCGUGAGGCAUGCUGGAGGUAUCAGAAGUGCGAAUGCUGACAUAAGUAACGAUAAAGCGGGUGAAAAGCCCGCUCGCCGGAAGACCAAGGGU